rnacentral:rRNA from 1 species
CCUACGGGAGGCAGCAGUGAGGAAUAUUGGUCAAUGGCCGGAAGGCUGAACCAGCCAUGCCGCGUGAAGGUCAGUGCCCUAUGGGCGUUAAACUUCUUUUGUGCGGGAGCAAGGUCGGGGACGUGUCCCGGCCCGGAGAGUACCCGGAGAAAAAGCAUCGGCUAACUCCGUGCCAGCAGCCGCGGUAAUACGGAGGAUGCGAGCGUUAUCCGGAGUUAUUGGGGUUAAAGGGUGCGUAGUCGGGGUUUUAAGUCAGCGGUAAAAAUUCGGGGCUCAACACCGUCCGGCCGUUGAAACUGGGAGCCUUGAGUGGGCGAGAAGAAGGCGGAAUGCGUGGUGUAGCGGUGAAAUGCAUAGAGAUCACGCAGAACCCCGAUUGCGAAGGCAGCCUUCCGGCGCCCUACUGACGCUGAGGCACGAAAGUGCGGGGAUCGAACAGGAUUAGAUACCCUUGUAGUC